rnacentral:rRNA from 1 species
GACGAACGCUGGCGGCGUGCUUAACACAUGCAAGUCGAACGGAAAGGCCCGGCGCUUGUGGGUUGCUCGAGUGGCGAACGGGUGAGUAAAACGCGAGUAACCUGCCCUUGACUUUGGGAUAACUUCAGGAAACUGGGGCUAAUAUCGGAUAGGAGCUCCUGCUGCACGGGGGUGGAUGGAAAGUUUCGGCGGUGGGGGAUGGACUCGAGGCUUAUCAGCUUGUUGGGGGGGUAGGGGCUUACCAAGGCUUCGACGGAUAGCCGGCCUGGGAGGGUGACCAGCCACCAUGGGCCUGAGAUACGGCCCAGUCUGCUACGGGCGGCAGCAGUGGGGAGCAUUGCGGAGUGAGCGGACGCCUGAUGUAGAGGCGCCCCGUGCGGAAUGACGGGCUUCGAGUUGAAAACAGAUUUGGACUGUAACAAACCCUUAGUGACGGUAAUGGGUAAGGAAGCAACGGCUAACUACGUG